UUCGGAGUCUUACACGACUGUCUCUUGUUUAUGGAGAUUUAUGCAUGGAUAACCGUGCAAGUUUCCCCGCGCAGUAGCGACACAGCUCGAGGCGCUCCUUGCUCUGGUUGCCUCUUCUUCUUGCGCUGCGAGUUAUCUUUGCCAGAAUUUCUCUUCUGAACUUUGGCAGUUUUCUGUCGAGAGUCCGUCCUGUCUCCCCGCCUCCUUGUCUCAGAGAACACAAGUGUCUUCGGGCGUGGCGCUGAUUGCCUCGAGAGAAGCUUUGAAUACUGGAACGGAAACAUCUGAACCGCUACAUCGACAUCGAAAGAGAGCAACAGACCAAGGGGGAAGAGAGGCACCUGUGGGUCUCUGAAAAACGAAGACGCAGAGAAAGCGCUGCAGUUUCGUCAGGAUCCGGCGCAGCAUUUCCAUAACCAGGCAAAGAUCCAAAGGCCAUUGAGCUCUCUUGCAAGCUCACAUUGCCAGGAGGAGCGAGCGCCGAGGCAAAACGGACUUUCGCGCAGCAAUCUUGAGAUAAUUGGGUCAACAGCGGAUCGCCAAGAAUCCCAUCUGGAGGGCCCCUCAGCCCCGACACCUCAGCAAGACUGAUAACCGCGCUGUAAAUACGUCAGGGUAUCGAAGACCUCGUUCUACCCCGUGACCUCUGUGCUUCGUCUCGCUCGUUCGCUUGUUCGUGAAACAGUGGCCGAAUUUUGUUUGAAAUAGAGC